rnacentral:tRNA from 1 species
GGAGGGCUGGCUGAGCGGCCGAAGGCGACGGUCUUGAAAACCGUUGGUGCGCCAACACGCACCCAAGGGUUCGAAUCCCUUGCCCUCCG